UAAUAAUAAUAAUAAUAAUAAUCAUGCCUCCCACGAUAAUUAACAACCAAGUAUCAAGACAUAUAAUGUGCAGAAAGAGACCCCGUGAGAUCUCUGACAGCAGGCUGCUGUCCGCUCUCACAAAAUCGACCACAACAAGAGCGAACAGAUUGGAAGAGC